rnacentral:rRNA from 1 species
CCUACGGGGGGCAGCAGUGGGGAAUAUUGCACAAUGGGGGAAACCCUGAUGCAGCGACGCCGCGUGAGUGAAGAAGUAUUUCGGUAUGUAAAGCUCUAUCAGCAGGGAAGAAAGUGACGGUACCUGACUAAGAAGCCCCGGCUAACUACGGGCCAGCAGCCGCGGUAAUACGUAGGGGGCAAGCGUUAUCCGGAUUUACUGGUCGUAAAGUGAGCGGAGACGGCCAGACAAGUCAGAAGUGAAAGCCCAGGGCUCAACCCUGGGACUGCUUUUGAGACUGCCGGGCUGGAGUGCAGGAGAGGUGAGUGGAAUUCCAGGUGUAGCGGUGAAAUGUGUAGAUAUUAGGAGGAAUACCAGUGGCGAAGGCGGCUCACUGGACUGUGACUGACGUUGAGGCUCGAAAGCGUGGGGAGCAAACAGGAUUAGAUACCCGAGUAGUC